GCCAGGCAUGGUGGCGUGUGCCUGUAGUCCCAGCUACUCAGGAGGCUGAGGCAGGAGAAUCACUUGAACCCAGGAGGCAGAGGUUGCAGUGAGCCAAGAUUGCACCAUUACACUCCUGCCUGGGUGACAGGGUGAGACUCUGUCUCAA
rnacentral:SRP_RNA from 1 species